GAGCUGCAGAUUGUUCGAUUGGUGGAACGUUAGGCUUUUAACUUACCGGACCGGGGUUCGAGUCCCUGUUCGUUCC